ACCUACGGGGGGCAGCAGUGAGGAAUACUGGUCAAUGGGCGGGAGCCUGAACCAGCCAAGCCGCGUGAGGGAAGAAGGUACAGCGUAUCGUAAACCUCUUUUGUCAGGGAACAAAGGCGGGGACUAGUCCCCGGAUGAGGGUACCUGAAGAAAAAGCAUCGGCUAACUCCGUGCCAGCAGCCGCGGUAAUACGGAGGAUGCGAGCGUUAUCCGGAUUUAUUGGGUUUAAAGGGAGCGUAGGUGGAUUGUUAAGUCAGUUGUGAAAGUUUGCGGCUCAACCGUAAAAUUGCAGUUGAAACUGGCAG
rnacentral:rRNA from 1 species